UACGUAGGGUGCAAGCGUUGUCCGGAAUUAUUGGGCGUAAAGAGCUCGUAGGCGGUCUGUCGCGUCUGCUGUGAAAACUCGGGGCUUAACCCCGGGCCUGCAGUGGGUACGGGCAGACUAGAGUGCGGUAGGGGAGACUGGAAUUCCUGGUGUAGCGGUGAAAUGCGCAGAUAUCAGGAGGAACACCGGUGGCGAAGGCGGGUCUCUGGGCCGGAACUGACGCUGAGGAGCGAAAGCGUGGGGAGCGAACAGG
rnacentral:rRNA from 1 species